AGAAAACUCAAGAUUUUCAGUGCCCUUCACAAAGGAGAAAUGACAGGAGAGGGUAACAUCAGUGAAUGGGUGGGCCCGCAGCUCCUCUGUAGACACCGAGAAUGUCAAAGAAGAAAUGAAGUUAAUAAAGACCAAUCAGCACUGCAUCAGGCUCAACAACACUGCAGUACUGGUCUUCUGGAAGAACAGUUGCCUCUGCCUUAUCAAGAAGCUGGUGAUGCAGGAAGUCAUCACCACGGGUGUUGCUUCCAUAGCCAAUCUGCA
rnacentral:lncRNA from 1 species